rnacentral:rRNA from 1 species
GAUGAACGCUGGCGGCGUGCCUAAUACAUGCAAGUCGAGCGAACGGACGAGAAGCUUGCUUCUCUGAUGUUAGCGGCGGACGGGUGAGUAACACGUGGAUAACCUACCUAUAAGACUGGGAUAACUUCGGGAAACCGGAGCUAAUACCGGAUGAUAUUUUGAACCGCAUGGUUCAAAAGUGAAAGACGGUCUUGCUGUCACUUAUAGAUGGAUCCGCGCUGCAUUAGCUAGUUGGUAAGGUAACGGCUUACCAAGGCAACGAUGCAUAGCCGACCUGAGAGGUUGAUCGGCCACACUGGAACUGAGACACGGUCCAGACUCCUACGGGAGGCAGCAGUAGGGAAUCUUCCGCAAUGGGCGAAAGCCUGACGGAGCAACGCCGCGUGAGGGAGGAAGGUCUUCGGAUCGUAAAACUCUGUUAUUAGGGAAGAACAUAUGUGUAAGUAACUGUGCACAUCUUGACGGUACCUAAUCAGAAAGCCACGGCUAACUACGUG